rnacentral:rRNA from 1 species
GACGAACGCUGGCGGCGUGCUUAACACAUGCAAGUCGAACGGAAAGGCCCCUUUGGGGGUACUCGAGUGGCGAACGGGUGAGUAACACGUGAGUAACCUGCCCUUGACUUCGGGAUAACUUCAGGAAACUGGGGCUAAUACCGGAUAGGAAUCCUUGCUGCAUGGUGGGGGUUGGAAAGCUUCGGCGGUUUUGGAUGGACUCGCGGCUUAUCAGCUUGUUGGUGGGGUAGUGGCUUACCAAGGCUUUGACGGGUAGCCGGCCUGAGAGGGCGACCGGCCACAUUGGGACUGAGAUACGGCCCAGACUCCUACGGGAGGCAGCAGUGGGGAAUAUUGAACAAUGGGCGGAAGCCUGAUGCAGCAACGCCGCGUGCGGGAGGACGGCCUUCGGGUUGUAAACCGCUUUCAGCAGGGGCGAAGCUUGUGGUGACGGUACCUGCAGAAGAAGCACCGGCUAACUACGUG